rnacentral:rRNA from 1 species
AUCAACGCUGCGGCGUGCCUAACACAUGCAAGUCGAACGAGAAAGUCCCGCAAGGAUGAGAUAAAAGUGGCGCACGGGUGAGUACCACGUAACACGUAGCUACCUGCCCGUCGAGUGGGGGAUAACCUGGGGGAGAACCUCGGGCUAAUACCGAGCAUAACGUCGCUGGCUGCGCAAGCAGCGGGGAUCAAAGGCCCGCAAGGGCCGCUCCAAGGAAGGAGGGGGCUGCGGCCGAUUAGCUAGUUGGUGAGGUAACGGCCCACCAAGGCGAUGAUCGUAGCCGGCCUGAGAGGGCGCACGGCCACACUGGCACUGAAACACCGGGCCAGACUCCUACGGGAGGCAGCAGUGGGGAAUUUUGCACAAUGCCCGAAAGGGUGUGCAGCAACGCCGCGUGAGGGAUGAAGGCCUUCGGGUCCGUAAACCUCUUUCGAUCGGGAAAAACGGGCUGGUUGAAGAGCCAGCUCUGAUGGUACCGGUAUGAAGAAGCCCCGUGCCAACUACGUGCCAGCAGCCGCGGUAAUACGUAGGGAGGCGAGCGUUGUUCGGAAUUACUGGGCGUAAAGGGCGUGUAGGCGGUGCUGUAAGUCGGGCGUGAAAUCCCCGGGCUUAACCCGGGGCGGUCGUUCGAACUGCCCGUGCUAGAGUGGCAUGGAGAGGGAAGUGGAAUUUCACGGUGUAGCGGUGAAAUGCGUAUGAUAUCGGGAGGAACACCUGCGGGCGAAGGCGGCUUCCUGGACUGCAACUGACGCUGAGCGCGCGAAAGCUAGUGGGAUGGCAAACAGGAUUAGAUACCCUGGUAGUCCUAGCCCUAAACGACGAGCACUGGGGAUGUUAGGCGCCGUACGGGGGCCGAUGCCGAAGCUAACGCAUUAAGGUGAAUCCGCCUGGGGAGUACGGUCGCAAGGCUGAAACUCAAGGAUAUGAGCGGGGGGCCACGCACAAGCGGUUGGAGCAUGUGGUUCAAUUCGACGCAACGCGAAGAACCUUUACCUGGCACUCGAAAAUGCAAGUCGACCGGUCCUCAGAGAAUGAUGAGGCUUUCCCGCAAGGGACGGCUGUAUAGGUGCUGCAUGGCUGUCGUCAGCCUCGUGUCGUGAGAUGUUGGGUUAAGUCACCGCAACGAGCGCAACCCUCAUCCUUAGUUGCUCGCCCGUAAGGUGAAGCACCCUAAGGAGAACUGCCAUCCGAUAAGGGGGGGAGGAAGGAGGUGGGGAUUGACGUCAAGGUCCUCAUGGCCUUUAUGCCCAGGGCUACACACGUGCUACAAUGGCCGGUAACAGACCGUAUGCCGAACCCCGCGAGGGGGAGCCAAUCGGUAAAAACCGGUCUCAGUUCGGAUUGCAGUCCGCAACUCGACUGCAUGCAUAGCUGGAAUCGCUAGUAAUCGCGUAUCAGAACGACGCGGAUGAAUACGUUCCCCGGGCCUUGUACACACCGCCCGUCACAUCACGAAAGUGGGUUGUACUAGGAAGUCGGCAAUCCUAACCGCAAGGGAAGGUAGCGCCCAAGGUAUGACCCAUGAUUGGGGGU